AGGAUAUUAACUUUAAUUAUUGUUAUUUGCAUAUUUGAUGAAGAACGAGGAAGACAUUUGUCAACUAAGAAAGAGAAUCCUAAUCGCCUUAACUGUUGGUGGUCAUUCAUAUUCUUCAAUGUCGAUUAACAUUCCUCCUUCGACAACGGUGGUGAAGAUUUUGCAUCGGGUCAUUCAGCCAAUUUCUCGAGAAGAAACCUCCCCGAGGUCUUCUAUAGGUUUAGGUGUAUGGGCGCCGCGCAUGUCGGGUCCUCUAACUCAUAUCCUUUUGGCUAGACUUUGACCCCAUACUCUAAAAGAACAUUGGGCGUCAACUUUGGAGGUAAAUUGCUCUUACCUUGCCAAUAUGGACAAUGAGGCUCUCGAGGAGGACUUGUCGAGUUGGUAUAUUACAUUUGGCUUGCUUCUUCCGACUUGGCCAUUAAUGGGGUCGAUUGUUGGGAUGUUUUCCUGUCUAAUCUAUGUCGCUAAAAGAAAUAGAUGUUAGAGAAUAGUAUUUGUAACCUGACUCUUCAAAGAGAUACAUACAUGCAAGAAGUACAAAAAUCUUAGGUUUCUCUUACCAUGAUAAUUGAAUCCUUGUGUGGCCUUAAUCUCCCUAGCUCGUUAGUCGAUCAGGUAAUACUCUUGGCGAGGGGCGUAGCCAAGAAGGAUAAAGCUCUAGCCUCAUCACGGGUCACUCUAUCAACUAUGAAGAUGACUUUUUGCGUUGUUCAGGGAGACCUUGAAAGCCUACAUAUUGAGAAUGCUUCCCUUCUCAAAAAUUAAACGAAUAAUCAUUUUCUAGUCUUGUAGUCGUCUCAUAGUCAUUUGAAAAUGUUUUGCAUCAGGUAGAGCAUUUUUAAUCUCCUUUGUUUAUUUCAAGGGAGCAAGUGAGGUCGUACCAAAUUAUCAAAUAGGGAAAAGUCUUCUCUCUUAGAGAUUAGUUGUGUCUUUCUCCUCUCUUUUGUGUAACACCUUGCAUUGGGAAGUAUGAAUGAAUGAAAUUGACGAUGUAAUAUUGCUUUUAACUAUUUAGGGCUUUUGAAUUUUAUCCUGAGUCAAUUGCUUCGGGCUUUGUGCUAACUUACGAGGUCUUUUCUCGAAGUUUAUUUGACUUCUUUAGGACCUUUUUUGCACAAGGGUGUGUACCUUUUCCCCUCAGGUGAAUACCUGGUCCGAUGUUGACGUGUGGCCAACCCAACGUAGCCUAUGAAGUAGAUAGCUACCAGAUGAGGG
rnacentral:lncRNA from 1 species